UCCCUGGUAGUAUAUCGGUUAGUACACGCGCCUGUCAUAUAGACCGCGCGAAAGCUGGGUUCGACUCCCAGCCAGGGAG